CGUAGGACGCAAGCGUUAUCCGGAGUUACUGGGCGUAAAGCGCGGGCAGGCGGCUCGAUGCGUCUGAUGUGAAAUCUCCUCGCUCAACGGGGAGAGGCCAUUGGAAACGGUCGAGCUGGAGGGCAGUAGAGGCAGGCGGAAUUCCGGGUGGAGUGGUGAAACGCGUAGAGAUCCGGAGGAACACCAGAGGCGAAGGCGGCCUGCUGGGCUGCACCUGACGCUGAGCCGCGAAAGCCAGGGGAGCGAACGGGAUUAGGAACCCCGGUAGUCCUGGCCGUAAACGAUGUGUGCUGGAUGAUGGCCCGAACGGGUCGUUGUCGAAGCUAACGCGAUAAGCACACCGCCUGGGGAGUACGGCCGCAAGGCUA
rnacentral:rRNA from 1 species